rnacentral:pre_miRNA from 1 species
UUUUUAGUUUAAGUAUGUACCAUGCAAUAUUUGGAAAUUACUUAUGCUAAAA